AGAAACACCUGGCAAGUGAGAUCCCAGGAUCAAGAAGGUGGUUUUUCCAGGAUGAGUCUCAUCCAUGGCAUUUUGCGUGUGCUGACUCCUGAGAGUUCUCCCAAAUGCAGGAAACUUAACUGCAUAGUUUGUGGUAUUGGGGACUGCUUUCAUGCUCCUCCCUC
ensembl:snRNA U1 U1 spliceosomal RNA